AAGGAACACUUGACUGCUGAAAGCUUACAUAUUGUCAAGGGAUUUUCAUUUUUCAUUAUAAUAUACAAAAUGAUUGCAUAGCAACAAGAGGCAUAAAAUGCAACUAAUCUAGCUACACUGCAAAUAUCAUUCGUCUCAAGCAAUACCUUCACCUUAGAAACAAUAAGGAGUCACCAUACAAGUAAAAAGUAUACGCAUCAAGUAUCCAUUUUAAGUAAGAAAUGCAAUGCAUGGUGAUCAAUAAAUAAACUUAGAUAGCAUCAUGUUAACAUGCAGGCCUUGUUUUGCCUGGAUUUUCCUACAUGAUUAAUUGGCCAAUGCUUUUGCUAUUCUUGACACUUGUGGCCAUUUUAGCCCCAAAAGCACUCAAACUUAAUUUUGGUUUAAACAUCCAAAAGGGUGCUUUUGCAAAGAAGCACAAGAAACAACCCAAAAUGGACUGUCAAUAAAUAACACCCCAUUGUUGCUUGGUAUGCAGAACGUAGCGAUAGACAGGCUAUUGAUAUAGGUAGUACUAUUUAUAACAGCCAGCUAAUCAAUAAUUGAAGCAACUGUAAUUUAAAGAGAAUAGCAGAACAGUAAGCGAAAACUAGAAAUAAAAAAGGAAAUGCAAAGAUGCCAAUAGUAAUGGCAACACCAGUCCAGCAGCACUAAUAAUAUCUAUUUAAACUAAUUCAAUAAAAACAAAAUUUUAGCUAUUGAGAUUGAUUUGAUCUUUCAGUUAGAGAUAAAUGCUAAGACUUUUUAAGGAUUCACACUUUCCUUUUGAAAAACUUAUGGGAUAAAAUUAUUUUUCUAGCAUCUUUUUGGUGUCCUGCUUCUUGAAAUUCUAAGGAAUGUCUUUGGUAAAUAUCCAAUGUUCCUUCUUCCAUCUUUUAUUUAUUUGUUUUAUAGGAGGAUGUCAAAGAAACUGAAAACCAUUGGUCACAUUUCGCAUCCUCCUACAAGGAUAUUAAAUAAUAGUGCCAUAUGUGUUGUUUUGAUACCUCUAAGUUUAAACUUUCAUGAAUUUGGUUUUCAAUAAUUUUAGUUAAUGUAUGCUGUGGGAGAAACUGAGCAAUCAGCCUAUUAGUGCUUCUAUGAAAGGAAAACUUGAAUAACUGAUGGAUUUUAAGGUUUCAAGUAAACUCCUAAAGAAUAACAGAAUCCUAUAUUUUCUGUAUACCAAAGUCUAAAAAGAAUGUUGCAUAAUACUUUCAAAUAAAAAAGCUCACAAGAAGAAUUCGUAUUAUCAAAAUUAAUUAUGUGUAAAUGCUUGAAAACAAUAAUAAUAUAUACAGGAAAGAGAAGAAUGGAGGAAACAAUCAGGAUAUAUAUGUCAGCUCCAAGAAUCAGAU
rnacentral:misc_RNA from 1 species